rnacentral:rRNA from 1 species
GAGUUUGAUCCUGGCUCAGAUUGAACGCUGGCGGCAUGCCUUACACAUGCAAGUCGAACGGUAACAGGUCUUCGGAUGCUGACGAGUGGCGAACGGGUGAGUAAUACAUCGGAACGUGCCCGAUCGUGGGGGGAUAACGGAGCGAAAGCUUUGCUAAUACCGCAUACGAUCUACGGAUGAAAGCAGGGGACCGCAAGGCCUUGCGCGGACGGAGCGGCCGAUGGCAGAUUAGGUAGUUGGUGGGAUAAAAGCUUACCAAGCCGACGAUCUGUAGCUGGUCUGAGAGGACGACCAGCCACACUGGGACUGAGACACGGCCCAGACUCCUACGGGAGGCAGCAGUGGGGAAUUUUGGACAAUGGGCGAAAGCCUGAUCCAGCCAUGCCGCGUGCAGGAUGAAGGCCUCGGUU